GACGAACGCUGGCGGCGUGCUUAACACAUGCAAGUCGAACGGAAAGGCCCUGCUUUUGUGGGGUGCUCGAGUGGCGAACGGGUGAGUAACACGUGAGUAACCUGCCCUUGACUUUGGGAUAACUUCAGGAAACUGGGGCUAAUACCGGAUAGGAGCUCCUGCUGCAUGGUGGGGGUUGGAAAGUUUCGGCGGUUGGGGAUGGACUCUCGGCUUAUCAGCUUGUUGGUGGGGUAGUGGCUUACCAAGGCUUUGACGGGUAGCCGGCCUGAGAGGGUGACCGGCCACAUUGGGACUGAGAUACGGCCCAGACUCCUACGGGAGGCAGAAGUGGGGAAUAUUGCACAAUGGGCGGAAGCCUGAUGCAGCAACGCCGCGUGCGGGAUGACGGCCUUCGGGUUGUAAACCGCUUUCGCCUGUGACGAAGCGUGAGUGACGGUAAUGGGUAAAGAAGCACCGGCUAACUACGUG
rnacentral:rRNA from 1 species